CCAGCAGCCGCGGUAAUUCCAGCUCCAAUAGCGUAUAUUUAAGUUGUUGCAGUUAAAAAGCUCGUAGUUGGAUUUCGGGCGGGUGACGGCGGUCCGCCUCUGGUGUGCACUGCUGCUCAUCCGCCUUACUGUCGGGGACGGGCUCCUGGGCUUCACUGUCCGGGACCCGGGUUCGACAUGGUUACUUUGAGUAAAUUAGAGUGUUCAAAGCAGGCGUUCGCCCUGAAUACAUUAGCAUGGAAUAGCACGAUAGGACUCUGGCCUAUUCUGCUGGUCUGUAGGACCGGAGUAAUGAUUAAUAGAGACAGGCGGGGCUAUUCGUAUUGCAUUGUCAGAGGUGAAAUUCUUGGAUUUCUGCAAGACGAACUACUGCGAAAGCAUUUAGCAAGGAUGUUUUCAUUAAUCAAGAACGAAAGU
rnacentral:rRNA from 1 species